rnacentral:lncRNA from 1 species
CAAACUCCACUCCUGCUGUUUCUUCUCUGCUGUGACACCCUCCAAGGCUGCAACUUUCAUCUGUAAUGGAUUCGUUUACACUUGGUCAAGGCUCUCGACAACAGUGGGACCAAAACCCAGAGGUUCACAGAAACUACAAUAGUCGCCAUGAGUCAGGCCAGUCUGCUCAGAGGAUGGCCUGCAGGACUGCCCACAGCAUUUGGAGGCCAGGCCUCAGCUGCAUCUCUGAAGCCCAGGCAAAGGCGGCACUGGGGAAGGUGGAACACCAGCAUUUCUACUGAUGCUCUGGGGUCCUGCAGAACCCUGACUGUGCCACAGAUCUUCUGUACCGUGUCCAUUUCCAUAUAAUCUAAUAAAUCCUUCUUACAAAGGAA